rnacentral:lncRNA from 1 species
ACACAGAGCAAGGUGAACCAGCCUUAUUGAGAGAAAUAUGUCAUAGAACAGGAAGCACUCCACCAGCUGUCAGGGCUGGUGGUCUAGAGGGGCCUCAGUUAAGGUACUUGUCUCUCGUCCAUAUGGUCUGUCAUCCUCCAAAUACUUUUCAGGUUUGUUUACCACACCAAUUGAUCAAGUAUAUCCUGCUGAAAGAAUUCUAUUGAUAAGGACUCUCUUAUUAUCAUUCAAUCACUAAAAACCAUCAGAAAUUUGAAUAGAAUCUUUCCACAUUUGACCAGGAUAACUCCUUUUUCCCCUUAUUUCUCCUUCUCCUCUUCUUCCUCCUCCUCUUCUUUCUCUUAUUCCUCCUCCUCCUC